rnacentral:rRNA from 1 species
CCUACGGGAGGCAGCAGUAGGGAAUUUUCGGCAAUGGGGGGAACCCUGACCGAGCAACGCCGCGUGAACGAAGAAGGUAUUCGUAAUGUAAAGUUUCUUUAACAGGGAAGAAAGAGAAAUUUGACGGUACCUGAAGAAUAAGCCCCGGCUAACUACGUGCCAGCAGCCGCGGUAAUACGUAGGGAGCGAGCGUUAUCCGGAUUUAUUGGGCGUAAAGGGUGCGUAGAUGGCAUAGUAAGUCUUGUGUAAAAAUGCUGGGCUCAACUCAGUAGGGCAAAAGAUACUGCAAAGCUAGAGUAUGACAGAGGCAAGUGGAACUACAGGUGUAGCGGUAAAAUGCGUAGAUAU